rnacentral:rRNA from 1 species
CCUACGGGUGGCAGCAGUGGGGAAUAUUGGGCAAUGGGCGCAAGCCUGACCCAGCAACGCCGCGUGAAGGAAGAAGGCUGUCGGGUUGUAAACUUCUUUUCUGAGGGACGAAGAAAGUGACGGUACCUCAGGAAUAAGCCACGGCUAACUACGGGCCAGCAGCCGCGGUAAUACGUAGGUGGCAAGCGUUAUCCGGAUUUAUUGGGUGUAAAGGGCGUGUAGGCGGGAACGCAAGUCAGAUGUGAAAACUCAGGGCUCAACCCUGAGCCGGCAUUUGAAACUGUUUUUCUUGAGGGCUGGAGAGGCCAUCGGAAUUCCGUGUGUAGCGGUGAAAUGCGUAGAUAUACGGAGGAACACCAGUGGCGAAGGCGGAUUGCUGGACAGUAACUGACGCUGAGGCGCGAAAGCGUGGGGAGCAAACAGGAUUAGAUACCCCAGUAGUC